CACGUAGGGGGCAAGCGUUGUCCGGAUUUAUUGGGCGUAAAGAGCUCGUAGGUGGUUCGGUAAGUCAGGUGUGAAACCUCCAGGCUCAACCUGGAGACGCCACUUGAUACUGCUGUGACUGGAGUCCGGUAGGGGAGCGUGGAAUUCCUGGUGUAGCGGUGGAAUGCGCAGAGAUCAGGAAGAACACCAGUGGCGAAGGCGCUCUGCUAGGCCGUAACUGACACUGAGGGACGAAAGCUAGGGGAGCGAAUGGG
rnacentral:rRNA from 1 species